GUGCCAGCCGCCGCGGUAAUACGAGGGGAGCAAGCGUUGUUCGGAUUUACUGGGCGUAAAGGGCGCGUAGGCGGUCGUGACAAGUCACUUGUGAAAUCUCCGGGCUUAACUCGGAACGGUCAAGUGAUACUGUCGGACUAGAGUACAGAAGGGGCAACUGGAAUUCUCGGUGUAGCGGUGAAAUGCGUAGAUAUCGAGAGGAACACCUGCGGCGAAGGCGGGUUGCUGGGCUGACACUGACGCUGAUGCGCGAAAGCCAGGGGAGCGAACGGGAUUAGAUACCCCUGUAGUCC
rnacentral:rRNA from 1 species